rnacentral:lncRNA from 1 species
AAUCCCAGCUUUACUAUGCUUUAUUUAGUAGUAGAUAUAUAUUAGAUAUAGCUGACACUUAUAAAGCACAUGUCUUUUUUUAUUAUUUUUAUUUUUUUAUUUUUUAUCAUACUUUAAGUUCUAGGGCACAUGUGCACAACGUGCAGGUUUGUUACAUAUGUAUACAUGUGCCAUGUUGGUGUGCUGCACCCGUUAACUUGUCAUUUACAUUAGGUAUAUCUCCUAAUGCUAUCCCUCCCCCAAGCCCCCAUCCCACGAUAGAACAUCUCUUUAUGCUGCUCUUGCAAAAGCUAAAUCUCCCUGCUUGCACCUCCAACCUGCAAGAAAAAUCUCAUUCCUACCUCAACGUUCUACCAAUCAGAUCGUUACAUUUUUCUUUAACUUAAUUGCAGUUCUCCAUUUAACCUACAGGGAAGAGAAAAAUCUAAACAGGAACACAGACAUAAGUGCUGGUUUCUUGACAAGUCAUGGAUUUCUGCCAUGACUGAUUAUAGGAGCCAUAAGAAGCCAAGGAGAUCACAUUUAAGUACCAGCAAAAGAAUACUUUUUCAACCUAUAUAAUUCCAUGUAUAGAGAAUAACAAAAUUAUGGCAAACACCACCACACCACACUGCAAACAAAAUAAAGAAACUAUUGUAAAACUGUGGCUAAAUAUCUAGUUUCUAAUAUCUACUUCCAAUGGAUUUCUGCUGCCUGCAUUUCCUUUGACAGCCAGUCUGCUGACCUGGCAUCCAAGACAUCAUUAUGUAAAAUGUUCUGGGAAUCCAACAGUCAGUUCUCAGCAUCUUAGGUCUAGCCUCCAAGCAUUAUUUAUAAUGCUAAUGUCAGCACCAUGAGCCAAUUGUAUUCCCAUAAUCCCCUUCCAAGAGUAGAAGAAAGAAAACUCCCCAGAAAUAUCUAUCCCUGGGAUGUCAGAGGUGUCUGUGGAGCAGUCAUUGUGUUGCUUUGUAAGAAGUGGCCACCUUCAACAUGGGAAGAUGUCCUCUCUGGCCCUGCCUAGGUCUGCCUGUUCCCUCAACACAAACACUUCCCACUCAGUCUGCUCUACAUCUCUCUGCACACUGUCCAUCUGGCACAAAGAAGGAACACCAGCUGGUACAUAA